rnacentral:lncRNA from 1 species
AGUGUUUCUCCCUGUGAACUGUCUGUCCUGUGGUUCAAGAAGACAGAAUACCUCAGCAAGCGGCUGGAGAGAGGGAAAAGCAGAAAGACCUCUUGGCUAGCUGGACGUAUUUCCUUGAGGUGCUUUGGAACUUAGUUCUGGCUCUGAGCUCCUUGGAAGACAAGAAUUUCAUGCUGCAUCUUCAGUACAUAGUGACAAGUCCCACACAUGGGGCAAGUUAGACACUGGAAGCUUUGAGGCUGAGCUACGAGCAGUUGCCCUCCUCCACGCAGCACCAGCAGCAUCACCAUACCUACUCUCAGAGUUUCGGUUGCAUGUAGUGAAAGCAGGGAAGUAUUUGUAUGGAAGGACUGAGUAAAUGGAGUCCUCAGUCAACUUUGUAGCCGAGAACUCCACGCAGGACAAGACAGAGACUUCCUUGUCAUUUGGUGCUUCUGUCAGUGAGUCCACUGUCGUGUCAUCAGCUUCUCAAAGGAUGCCUGGGGUCUGUGGAGAAGUCCCUUAAAGAAGUCUUCAUUCUGAAGAACUAAAACGUCCCCGGAUUCUUCUUCUUGCCUUUGAUUGCUUUGCAGAACUUUGCUGUUGUACAAGGAAUAUUUAUAUGCUGGAUCAUCUUCAAUAUGGCAGAGACUAUAGCAAAUCGAGUGAUAGAAAUAUGAAUAAUAUAAGCAUAUGAUGCCUGCUCUCGAAAAGCUCUUGCUCUUAUGGGAUAGAUGAAAUAAUCUACAGCACACAUCAUGGUCCUUUGCUCAAUCAGGACCCUAAGGAGAUCAUCAAGUGACCUCAGCCAGAUGUCCUAACAACAGUAACAUGAUAAAUGAGUUAUCUGAUUGGUGAAACUGGGAAAACGGAGUACCCUGAGAUGAUGGAUCUACCUCUGGUCCUGCACCAAGGUAGCCAAGUGCCAGGAUAAGCUCCUGGAAGUGGAAAGAAUUAGCAAAAGGCGUUGACCCAUUGAUCCACCAGGAACCUAGGGGCUGUCUUCUGUUCCUAUUACUAUCCAGAAUGUGACCUCAAAAAAACCCACUGGCGGCAGCUGCCAUCUAGUUGACCAGGCAUCAGUGUGAUGUGCCCUCGUUCCCUUUCAAGGAGACAGUAUGUCUCGAAGCCUGUGGUCAAAACAUAAAAUCUUCCACUGAAAUAUGCCAUGUCCUCCACUCAUUUACUCAGCAAUCAACAUUUGUCUUUGGUGUGGAAAUUUCUGCACUAGAGCCUAUCAAAUUAUUAUGCUGAAAUUUAUUUUUGUAUUAUGCAGGUAAUAUAACAUUACAGAAAAUCCCGAAUAUAGACCCCCCCAAAAAGUUUGAAUACAUUUCUAUCCCAUUCCUGUUUCUUUUUUAUUUCUUCUGUGCUAGAGCCUAUAAAAUUACUAAACUGCCUUUUAUCUUUAUAGUAUGGAGGUAACAUAAUAUUGUAGAAAAUCCUGAAUAUAGACCAAAAAAAAAAAAAAAAA